rnacentral:rRNA from 1 species
CACAGAGGGGGCAAGCGUUGUUCGGAAUUACUGGGCGUAAAGGGCGCGUAGGCGGCCAGCGCAAGUCAGUUGUGAAAUCUCCGGGCUUAACUCGGAACGGUCAACUGAUACUGCGCGGCUAGAGUGCAGAAGGGGCAACUGGAAUUCUCGGUGUAGCGGUGAAAUGCGUAGAUAUCGAGAGGAACACCUGCGGCGAAGGCGGGUUGCUGGGCUGACACUGACGCUGAUGCGCGAAAGCCAGGGGAGCGAACGGG